rnacentral:rRNA from 1 species
AUUGAACGCUGGCGGCAGGCCUAACACAUGCAAGUCGAGCGGAUGACGGGAGCUUGCUCCUGGAUUCAGCGGCGGACGGGUGAGUAAUGCCUAGGAAUCUGCCUGGUAGUGGGGGACAACGUUUCGAAAGGAACGCUAAUACCGCAUACGUCCUACGGGAGAAAGCAGGGGACCUUCGGGCCUUGCGCUAUCAGAUGAGCCUAGGUCGGAUUAGCUUGUUGGUGAGGUAAUGGCUCACCAAGGCGACGAUCCGUAACUGGUCUGAGAGGAUGAUCAGUCACACUGGAACUGAGACACGGUCCAGACUCCUACGGGAGGCAGCAGUGGGGAAUAUUGGACAAUGGGCGAAAGCCUGAUCCAGCCAUGCCGCGUGUGUGAAGAAGGUCUUCGGAUUGUAAAGCACUUUAAGUUGGGAGGAAGGGUUGUAGAUUAAUACUCUGCAAUUUUGACGUUACCGACAGAAUAAGCACCGGCUAAUUCUGUGCCAGCCGCCGCGGUAAGAC